UGUUAUUACUGAUGUCCUAAUGUGUAAGCAGCAUUUAAAUGUUGAUGCUUGGCUCAGUGGAGCUAUUUUUUAUGUUGGGAUGUUCAAUCUAUAACAAUCAUAUGCCUUUUUUCUAAAAUUGUAAUAUUAAAAGUAACAACAAAAACUCACUGAGUCAUAGUAUAAAAUAGUGAUAGCAGAAAAUAGUAAUACUCAAAUGAAGUACAAGUAGGCCUACCUCCAAAACAUACUUUGAUAGAUGCCUUCCACCACUGAGUAAAUUAUGCUGUGGGCUCUGAUUAAACAAAUCAAAGUUAACAUUUAUAUGUCUUUAUACAGAGAUAACUCUUGAUAUGGAUUAUCAGAGGAAACAGGCCUGGCUGCAGACGCCAAGUCACCCUGCUGGACUUUGCUGAAGAGUCCAGAGGCUGAGGGGCCAACGGUCGGGCGAGGCGCUGACAGUAAAAAAAAUAAAUAAAAAAUUUCAGCAUGAGAAGCAGUCUUGGAUUUGAUGUCAGAGACUGAGAUGGCCGCCUUGAUAAAGUUGGUCUGGCUUGCAGAGAUUGGCAGCCUUCUCCUUGGAAAAGAAAACAGAAAGGGCCCUACAUAAACAGAGGAAAAUGGCCCUGGCCGAGCAGAAAAACAGCCCUGUAUGAUGUGACCGGCUAACUUUGGAACGAUAUCAGUUCAGACGUCACCAAGCCAUCUGGAAUAACAACAUCGCUUUAAGCUGCACAACCGGGAUGGAAAAACAGAUGAGGGAAAGAGAAGAAGAAAGGAAACGAGAAAGCUGUACAAAAGGCUCGCUGCUCUCUGCUUGUAUCUGCGGUGAAACAUUCCCACUCAGCAGUUCUUAGGAGAAAUCGCUAGUUUUGUCCAUGCCGUAUAUCAUUUUUAUUACUCCAAAGGUCAGUGCUAUAAGAUUACAGAUUUACAGUCAUCAGCUUGAUCUCAUUCAGCUGAUACAUCAAGGUAUGAAAUUCAGAGAUAAUAUCAGUAAUGGCAGCAUACGAAUAGCAGGAUGUUCUUUGUGAGCAGUGAACUUAUGUGAUCCGAAUGAGAUGUAACUGUGAGCAACAGUGUCUGGGCAACCAUUCUGAACCCUCAGAGCAUCCAUGCAAGGCAUUCAAGGAAUCUGUGGACUUUCAUGGUGCAUGAACAGCCUCCUGGCUGCUUUCGCCAAUGGACAAAACUGUCAGCAGGCAACACAUCACAGGCGGAGGCGGGGACAUUCAGCAGAGCAGCCUGUUUCCUACAAAGGGUGUCUGCAUGCCAGUGUGUGAUUGGUGUAAACUGAAGAUCAAUGGGGUCAUACAGAGACAAUAAACAUUCUCUCUCUAAUAUUACCAGUGUAAAUAAAUAGUUGGGUAAACUGACCUUCAAUCAGCAGUGAAUACAAGACAAAAACCCAAACUUACAACAAAAACACUUAAAAAUGUAACUUUAGGGCAAGGCAAGUUUAUUUGCAUAGCACAUUUCAACAAUAAAAGUGGUUUUCAUAAAACAUAAAAGGCAUUUUACUGGAUUUUACUCCAACCAUCAAUGUCAGCCUAACAAAACUGAGAAGAACAGAAAUCAUAACACAAAUAAACUGAGUGCACUUCAUGUCUGCGAUACCCAGGCAUGUUUAACUUUUAGCUUCUAAUCUUUGUUGCUUAAUGGAAGAGGGCCUAUGUGCGUAAUGGUUUUAUUUAUUUCCGCAACCUUUAAAAUGUCGCCUUUUGACCCCAAUACAGAAAAUCAGCGACCAGCCGGUGGGACAGAGAGUAAUCAGACCUCAAAAGACACAAGUGAGGAGAGAGAGGGAUUUCCUUUCUAAGAUGAUACAGUCAUCCGUCAUAAUAGCUGUCACAAUGAUAUGGUUCAACGGUUCCCAUUUCCCCAUCCGCUGUGUAUGUUUGUGUUUAGUGUGUGCCUGUAUGAACACACGUGAGCCUGUCUGUGUCUAUAGAAGCCUGAUCUCAUGGCGUGUACAGUAAUAAUGUUACCUUAAUUUCAGUGGCGGAAGAAGUACAUUAUUUACACCUUUUACUUAACUAAAAGUAAAGUUUGUUUAAUACUGUUGGGUACUUUAAUUUAGAAAAAUACGUAAUAUUUAUAAAGCUUAUUAUAUAUUUUGUCAAAGUAACUAGUAACUAGUAUAGUACCAAAGUACCAGUAUACUGGUUACUUAAAUUAAUGUAGCAAUACUAUUCUGUAAAAAUACUAUUAUUGUGCCUGUCUGCGCUGGUGCGCCUCCACCCCCCUUUCCCACCUCCCAGUUGCAAGUUGCUUUGAGUUUUAUGUUGUAAAGUGUGAUCAUAUGUGCUUAUGUUGCUGAGGUUUUUUCCAUGUCCCACACUGUACUCCCCUACAGGAGCAGAGUCUGGGAGCUGCUUUUUUCUUCUCCCCUCUCCUCUUGUUUUUCUCCCCCCCCUGUUCCCCCCACAAGUAAUUUCCCCACGGGAUUAUUAAAGUAUAUCUGA